UCGAACUCACAGAGAUCCACCUAG
rnacentral:piRNA from 1 species